CAGAUGGAGGAAUUAGCUAAAUCCUUCUGAUGGAAGAACCUCCUGGUGUUGCAAAGGUCAAGAUUUGGGUACAGUGAUUCCAAUGGAAUGAAUGUUCUUCUGACUCACCAUUUAGCUACUGGAGGAUAUGUGUUCUGCCACGUGUUCCUGAUUAACUGCUGCUCUUGGAACCCAGCUUACAAGUCUCAUUGGCAGCUCCUCAGGAGAGCAAGAUCCCUUCUGAGGACAGGUUGAAAAGUAAUGGUCACCAGAUUGAGAGGGGAAAAAUGAGAGUGGCUCACACACGAAAGGAUCUACCUGCUGGUUGGGGUCAAGAUGGAGAACACCAUGAGAACUACAGCAGGGCAAGGGACGCAAAGGAAAAUUCACUUCUCGUUCACCUUGAUUCAGGAGUCCUACUGACUGACCUUCCAGCUGGUAAUCAUAUGAAGACGAAAAAGAAUAAUGAGACUUCAGAGAAGAGAAGGUCACAACACAGAAGAGGUGACCCAUAUGUCCAUUGCAGAAAUAUUCAGGAAGAAGAAGACUGAGAAGAGUCUGGUCACAAGUCAAUGCCCUUUGAAACAGUUUCUGUACGGUGGGGAAAUACCUGGCAGAAAAUUAAAGUUCAGUAAGUAAAUUGUUUUAUGUGGUGGUGGUUUA
ensembl:lncRNA